CUCAAGCAAGCUUAUUGGUGGACUCGAAUGAAGCGCGAGAUCGCUCAAUUCGUGAAUGAAUGUGAUGUCUGCAGAAGAGUGAAGGCAGAACACCAAAGGCCAGCUGGUCUCCUCCAACCUCUUGCCAUUCCAGAAUGGAAGUUUGACCACAUUGAAAUGGACUUCGUGACUGGGUUUCCAAAGUCCAAGCGUGGCAAUGAUGCUAUAUUUGUUGUCAUCGACAAGCUCACCAAAGUGGCUCAUUUUCUGCCUAUCAAAGAGUCGAUCACUGCAGCUCAAUUGGCGGAACUCUAUUCCUCUCGCAUUGUCUCUCUGCACGGUAUUCCUCAAGUGAUAUCUUCAGACCGUGGCAGCAUCUUUACCUCCAAGUUUUGGGAUUCUUUUCAGAAGGCCAUGGGCACCAACAUC
rnacentral:rRNA from 1 species